GUUAUUUAUUACUAUCUGCAGUCCACCCUGGGGUGCUGAGCAAUCUGUGACUGGUCACAAGUCAGGAGCGUUGGAGAAUUUACUGCUGCAUCCGGGUGAGAUGAAUGUCCCUCUGCUGACCGAGUGAAAAUCACAAGAGUUUAAUACAGUGCCUGGAGCCUGGAGUGUGUAGGAGGGUGAAUUCAUCUGCCUGGGUCACUGUGGAUGUGGGAGCAGAACAGACUUAUCUUCACAGAAACAAGAGCCUUGUGAGUGGCCACUGUGACAGCAGAUACAUCUGCCUGUUUCAGGAGCAGCACCAAGAAUAUAUACUUAGUCUCCUCUGGUCAAGUAUUUGA
rnacentral:lncRNA from 1 species